rnacentral:tRNA from 1 species
UCCGCAGUAGCUCAAUGGUGGAGCAACCGGCUGUUAACCGGUAGGCUACAGGUUCGAGUCCUGUCUGCGGAGCCA